rnacentral:lncRNA from 1 species
ACAUACUCAGUUCAUGGUAGUCUCCUGACCGUGUCGCCCCUCGCCAAGGACUCCUCGCAGUGCCACACCUUGAUCCCCAGCUCCCACAGGGGCAGCCCCAAGAUUCCGCCCCUGUGCGGACCCCCCAUCCCGGUCCGCUGCGCAAGCGCCUGUGGGGAUCCCGAGGCCUUCAGGCCGUCCCAGAGACCGCCGCACUAGCCGGGCAAGGACUGGCCAGUGGGCCACGGGCCGGAAGUGUGGCCUGCCCUGCCGCUCUAGGGCUGGGAAGACCGAGGUCUCGGUGGUUCCAGACCCUGGCUGGUUCCCUGGGGACUAGGAGCGGAUGUAGGAAGGUGAACCCCACGCUCUUCCCCUCCUCCUUUCCUGGAGGUGCAGUCCUGAAAAGAUCCGGCGGUGACCUAAGGUAUCUACAGGGGUGGGACUUAGAGUUCCGUGCUGUUGGGCACCCUUUGGAGGCCGGUACGUUGGCGCCUUGGUCGAAAGAGUAGGUAAGGCGCCGGGUGCGCCCCGAGGAGCGUGGAGUGCCGGAGGACGCGGCCUCGGUCUUCUCAGGAAGGAAGGUUGAGGUUCCCCAAGGAGGAAUUCUGGCCCCUUUUCCUCCGAGCCAAGCCCCCUUCCUGGAUGACCGUGGUCCUGGACAGCGGGGGGUGUUCCAAGGUGGAGGUGAAGGAUGAAGACCUACGCGGAGGAGGCGCCCCCGGCCGGAGCCGAGGAGGUGAGGCCAAGGCGCGUAACCUCGGCGACUGCGAGGCAAGGAGCCCGCAUCUGGCAUGGCGCGCCUUCCCUGGCUUCUCUGAAGCCCGCGUUAAGUGGUCAGCGAGCAGCCGGAGGAGGCGGCGGGCGGGGGGGGGGUCGUUUUUGGUAUUGAGGAUUGAACCUACAGACGCUUUAGCAUUGAGCUCCAUCCCAGUCCUUUUUAUUUAUUUGGAGACAGGGUCUUGCUAAAUUCCUGAGGCUGGCCUUGAACUUGCGGUUCUGCGAUUACAGGUGGGGUUUUAAGGGGCAUGCCAGCACAGGGGAGUAAGGGUAGCCUUUACACAGCGGACAAGUCUGACGCUGGUCCUGAGUCGGCUGGAGAGUCGGUGGGAUUUUUCUAGGCUCAGGGACUUGGCAAGAAAGUGCAGUGGCCUGAGUCUUGAAUACUGCUGGCCUAGAGUUCAGGAUCCUUCAGAGGCAAAGAGAGAGGAUUGAGAGGAUAGGAGGGAUUGGUUGGGCUUGGAAAAAAGAACCAGAAACGAGUGAAGAAAGAUCAAUCCAAAAAAAGAGGUUUUGUUUUUUCACUCAAAAUAAAACCUGUGAAACAAGGAGAAUAGAUAGGACAAAAUAGUCUGGUUGGACAUGGUUAGCCCUUCAUCUGAUGAAGAGGGAGUAGGUAAAAUUUAAGAAGCAAGACAAACUUAAAACUACUGGGCAUGGGCUGUGGCUGUGGCUCAGUGGCAGAGCGCUUGCCUAGCACGUGUGAGGCACUGGGUUGUAUCCUCAGCACCACAUACAGAUGAAUAAAUAAAGGCAUUGUGUUCAUCUAUAACUGAAAAAAAAAAUUAAACAAACAAACUGCUGGCAUGUUUGAAAACAGCCAGAGUCAGAGUUUGAUGAAUGAUCUCAUGGAUCAUUAAUAUUAGUCUUCUGCAAGAUUGGAAGAGUAGUGAAGGGUAGUCCUGAAGCAUGUGGGUUUUAAGCCUGACUGCCUGCUGUCCGGUUUGGGCAAAAUGUUUAAUUACUGGGUGUCCCAUUUUUCUCAUCAGCAAAGUAAGGAUAUUAAUGUUAAUAGCAUUAAUAUUUCUGAGGUACAGAUGUUUUGUACUCAUUUAAUUAUUUCAACUCUCCAGUCUUUAUUGAGUGGGACCACAUAACUAGCCUUUCAAAUGUGAGACAGCCAUGUGCACCACUUCCUUCAGUCCUCCAGCCCUCUCAGACCCUGCUACAGCAGUCUCCAGGAGCUUCAUAGUGGCAAGGCCAUAAAAAGGAAGUCUCUGAGUCCCUGAAUCACUACAGCACAGAGCCACCCCCCAACACUACCCAGCUUGUGCUGGAUUUUACAGGAAAAGUAAAUUAAAGCAUUUACAGUUUUUUUUUUUUUUAAUUUUAUUUAUUACUGCAGCCCAAUCUAGCCUAUUGCAGUUACCAUAUUUCAUUAAUUCUAAUGUACACAUUUUUAUUUCUUAAUAUCUGAAAUUGUGACAUGUUACCAUCAGUUGCUUCUUGUCAUCACUGUCAGCCAAGAUUAAAAUCAAGUUCUUCCAGCAUUUAUUUCUGCAUACUACUUGGGAACACCACCAUCUAUAAUUCUUUUAAUUAAGUCUAUACUUUUUAAAAAAUAUUUUUCAAGUUGUUGAUGGACCUUUAUUUUUUUCAUUUAUUUAUGUGUAGUGCUGAGAAUUGAAUCCAGUGCCUCACAUAUGUGAGGCAAGCGCUCUGCCACUGAGCCACAACCCCAGCCCGUAAAUUCUCUACUUUUAAGACAAGUUUAAUUAGGGAUAAUUCUGAUAUAAUAAAACACAUCCAUGGUGAGGACACAACUCAAUGACUGUUAGUUAAGUUGAAACGAUCCUAGGUGCACCCCUAUAAUCCCAGCAGCUCAGGAGGCUGAGGCAGGAGGAUCUCAAGUUCAAAGCCAGCAUCAGCAAUUUCGUGAGGUCCUAAGCAACUCAGCAAGACCUUGUCUCUAAAUAAAAUAUAAAAAAGGGCUAAAGAUGUGGCUCAGUGAUUAAAUGCCCCUAGGUUCAAUCCAGUACCAAAACAAAAAACAGAAACAAACAAACAAAACCCCACAAAACAAAAACCUGAUCCUAGUUUGAGGGCACUUCUGCCAACCCCUUGCAUCUAGCCUGGGUCUACCUCUAUUCUACCCACUUCCUGUCUGAAGAUUUGCUUUCAAUAGAAACUUCAUGGAGCUGGAAUCAUGACAGUACAGAUGUACUGCACUCCAUAUAUGCAUUCAACCUGUACGACUUAAUUUUAGUAUUUAUUGUAAUACGUUUUCUAGCAACAACUUCACUUCAUCUUUAUUCAUCUAGGAAUGUAUUUAUUUUCCCUUCAAUUUUGAAAAAUAGUUUGAAUAUGGAAUUUUUGGCAGUUUUCCCUUUCUUUGAUCAUGUCAUUCUACUGUCUUACCUCCUCCAUAGCUUUAGGUAUGUUGUUAAUCCUGUUGUCAUCAAUAAUCAGUUGUUAAUCCUGUGUCAUCCCAUUGUGAUGAGUAACUCCUCCCCUCAAGGAGUGGUUUUCCUGUCAGGACAGAGUUUCUUAAAUCUACAGAGAGUGUGUUUCGUGGGGGGUGUGAGGUAUCAUUCGCAUAGAGCAUGAGUUGACAGUGGGAAGUCAGUUUUGGGAGGAGUGAUUCUUCUCCUGUACAGGCAGCACCUUGGAAGAGGGCUCUGCAUUUCAUUUUCUUGCACCUGCUCAGAUCAAGUCAAUCUGACCUACACUUAGAGUCAAGUUGAAACCUUGACAUGCACAUGCAGGUCACUUUAGGCUGGCUGCCUGCCUCUCCUCCUGAACACCAGCCAGUCACUACUCUGUAAUGGGAGGAAGGCACAAUCCUGACCUGCUCAACCACUAGCAGUUGUUUGCUGAACGCAGGUCACUGAAGGGCCAAUUUGCCAAGACACCUUGACCUGAUUUGUGAAUGUGUGAUUUGAUUUGUCCACACCAUUGUUUUUAGAUACAAUCUUCCUAACUGCAUUCUCCAAAUGCAACUAUAUUAUUCCUGUAAAUAGAUCUCCUGAAUGAAUUCAGUGAAUAGAUUCUUCUAAAAAAUGGGACCAUGUUCCUUUUUAACACUUGAAAGAACAAUUCACCAAAUCCACUCAUGUCACAUUCAACUGGCAAAGAAACAUUUGGAAUGAGUUUGAGACUAGAAAGCUGCCAAUGUUGAUUGCUGUUCUGCUGCAAGGGGAGGCCAGAUGGACUGUUCAACACCACUGAGAAACUUCAACUUUUAUUGCUUUUGAAAUAAUGUAUCUUUAUCAAAGCUUGGUAACCUGUUGCUAAAUCUUUUCCAUCCCCAUGGGGAUGGAUACAAUGUUAAAGUCACCAUAGUACCAUUGUCAUGCUGACUUGCCCCAUCAUCAUCUGAACUUUGUCUCAGAAGCAUUCAGAAUUUGGUUUUAUGAGAGCAUUUAACCUGCAAUUUAUGUUAUUAAUUUUACUGCUUUUCACAGUUCCCAUUACACUAAGCAAUGAACUCAGGAGAACACACCUCCUUCAUUGCUGAGUAGAAUCCCCUGGUGUUCGUGUACUGAAGGGUGAAAUUCCAGGGAGCAGGAAGCCGCAUCCCAUUAUCAGUAAGGGAAAAUGAAUGGCAUCCCUCUGUGGCACAUACUUCAGGUUGCUCUCCCUCCACACACUAGGAGGGUCUUAUUUACAAGGUAGCAAAUGCCAGGGUUGAGUAGCACAAUGGGGCCUUUCAGACUAAGCCACUUGUGUAAUAGUUUUCUCUUGCAUAGAAAACAGUCAUGUAGGGGCUGGGGUUGUGGCUCAGUGGUAGAGCGCUUGCCUAGCAUGUGUGAGGCACUGGAUUCAAAUCUCAGCACCACAUACAAAUAAAUAAGUAAAUAAAGGUCCAUCAACAACUAAAAAAUAUUUAAAGAAAAGAAAACAGUCAUGUAAGUAGCAGGUAGCAUCUGUUUUCUUUGUUUUAGGAGAAUUUUUUUUUUUCAGACAAUUUUUAAAAUUUGUUCUUAUUAGUUACACAAGAUAGUAGAAUGUAUUUUGACAUAUUUUUCAUAUAUGGAGUAUAACUGUUAAACCAUGAUGCAAAGAAAAGACCACUGACUCCAAUUUUAAAUCAAAUUAAAGCAAGCUUAUAUUGUGUACCCAAAUAGAGCUGGCCAGUGGCUGUCUCACCCAAGGCUUUGAGCGUGCUAAACAAGCCACUCUAUCACUGAGCUAUACACCCCCCAGCCCCUUUCCUACCUUCUUAGAUAAUUCCUUAAUCAUGUGGGAGGAUGCAGAUGAUUAAGAUCCUAAGUCAGCUCCUCCUGAGAGUUGCACACCCCACCAUCUGUCCCUGGCCAUGCUUUUGCCUUCUCCAGGGUCUGUUUGUGCAGACUCAACUCAGGCUAUUGGUUCUGCUGCAGAUUGCUCUAUCAAAUGUUCAGCUGUGUUAGAUGUGUAUGACUGUAAGUCACACAAAAGUAGCUACUCGUGACUUUUAACCAUGACAAUUGUUUGAGUUCUCAUCCGGAGAGAAAUACAAAUUAAAACUACAAUCAGAGCCAGGCAUAGUGGUACACUGCUGUAAUCCCAGCAACAAGCUGAGACCAGAGGAUCUCAAGUUCCAGUCCAGGCUCUGUAAUUUAGAAAGACCUUCAGCAAUUUAGUUCUCACUGGACCCUGUCUCAAAUUAAAAAAUAAAAAAGGGCUGGGAUGUAGCUCAGUAGCAAUGUGUCCCUGGGUUCAAUCCCUAGUACCUCCUCAAAACCCAAACACCUAGUUUCCCCAUCAAUGGGUGUGGCACUGUUAUUUGUCAACACGGGGUGUGGGAAAAGCAACUUUUUGUCCAGCUAGUGGCAGAAUUGGGGCAGGGCUCAUGGCCAGUUGGGCUCACUUGGGUAGCAAGUCUCAGCAUGAAUACUGCCAGACACUGCCCCAGCAAUUCCCCUUUCCGGAAGUGUUUAGGCAUACAAAUAAAACGUGUAUAGGAUUUAAACGUGUCUGUGUUCGUGGAAGAUUGCCAGUGACAUACAUCCUCAGGCCUUUAAUUUUUUUUAUUCUGGGCUGGGGUUGUGGCUCAGCUGUACAGUGCUCCCCUCGCACGUGCCAGACCCUGGGUUCGAUCCUCAGCACCACAUAAAGAUAAAUAAGUAAAAUAAAGGUAUUGUGACCAACUACAACAUAUAUAUAUAUAUAUAUAUAUAUAUAUAUAUAUAUAUAUAUAUAUAUAUAUAUAUAUAUAUAUAAUUUUUUUAUUUUGACACAGGGUCUCCCUGAGUUGUGAAGGCUGUCCUCGAACUUGCCAUCCUCUUGCCUUAGCCUCCCGAGUCGCUGUGAUUACAGGGGCGCCUCUGCACCCAGCACAAGUUAAUUAUAUUUCAAUAAAGCUUAUAAACGAUUCUAAAAGAGCUGACAUCUCAUUUUCCAGGUGGCAAAGCAGAGGCAGUCUGGAGGACAGGGGGAGGGCCUGCUGACCAGUGUCUGGGCUUGUGAUUGCUCCAGAAGGGUUAAUAACCGGCCAGAGCUGGUUCACCUACUCAUUGGACCCCAGCUCUCCCGGGAAGGGAUACUGUAAGGCAAGGAUCUGAUGGAGGCUCAGAGGUGUGAUCCAAAGGCCAGGGUGGCCCAAGGGAAAGCGAGCCCUCUAAGCCUAUGAGCAAGUGCUCAGGUAGCUUACAGCUCCGUGUAUGGGGUCUGGGGACAGGACCACGGGGGUCCGGGUGUGACUCGGGUUAUUCACUGUCCUGAGAUGCAGGCCAGGGGGCGUGGCCUGGUGCAAUGGAUGGGGCGGACCCUGGGAUGCUGGGUGUGGCCAGAAAGGGAACUUGAACCACGACUAGAAUCAGACUUGAGCCGCAGGGGCGUGGCCAGGGGUGGAGAGGGAUGCGGGCCUGAAGGGCGUGGCUGGGGGAAGCCACCACUAAGGAAGCACUAAGUGCUGGGCGCUGGGGCGGAGGGCGCAACCUGGGGCGGCGGAGGGUAGGGCUGGACCCGUGGAAAGUGAAGUCCUGGAAGGAGCGCGAGGGGUCGAGGGCGGUGACCCUGAGACGGUGGAUGUGGCCAGGGCUGGAGGCAUGGCCCUACAGGCCGGUGUGCUGGCAGUCCCGGUAGCGCCCCGGAGGAGAGGAGAGGCGGCCGAGCAGAGUGGGUCUGGCGGUUCUGCCCGUCUGGUCUCCGUGGAUCCUUCUGGGGCACCAGUGCCCCCACUGUUCUGUGUGCAGUGGGUGUGCCUGACAGAAUCAAGGGUGUAGCAGGCUGGGGGCGAGGUCCUGUCUCCACCAGGAUGUCCCAUUGCUCCGCACUUAGACUGCCCUCCCUUCCUUGGAACCUUGGCAGGCCACGGAGACGAGUGGGAAAAUUGAGGACCUGAUACUGACCUUGCCGCCUGCCCAACCGGAGGCGAGGUCCCACCUGCUGAAUCUUGCUGUCUUUCCCGUCUCCAGGCUUCCAGCUGCACAGGGCUGCUCCAACCCCUGCUGGCCCACAUCUUCUGCCGCCACCGCCACCGCUGGCCUUGGUGAGGCUGCAGUGGGCUUUGGAACCCGAAUCCACUGGUUGGCACCAGACCCUCUGUGGAAAUCAGGCCCUGCUCUGAGUUACUCCAUGAGAUAUGGAACAGUAGUUUUCAAGCCUUUCCUAGCUCCCAGUUACUCCAUUUUGAAAAGCAGCAGUUUGCCAUGAGUUACCCACCCCCCCCCCUUUUUUGAGUUUUUUUAUUUUUGUUUAUUUUUUUAAGAUUUUUUUUAGUUGUAGACACAGUACUUUUAUUUUACAUAUUUAUUUUUAUGUGGUGCUGAGGAAUGAAUUCAGUACCUCACAUAUGCUAGGCAAACACUCUACCACUGAGCCACAACUCCAGCCCUGAGUUACCCAUUUAAAAAAAUAUAUUACUUUCUAGUUGUAGCUGGACAUAAUACGUUUAUUUUAAUGUGGUGCUGAGGAUCAAACCCAGUGCUAGGUGAGUGCUGUAUCACUGAGCCCCAACCCCAACCCCUUGAGUUACCCAUUUUAAGUGCUAAGUUAGAAUGACUCUAUACCUUGUUUGUACAGAUAACCCCCAUCUACCUAGCACUACCAUAGGUGCAAACUGAUAUAUAAAAAGAGACCCCCCCCCCCAAGACUGGAAAUGGCAACACACUGACCCUAUUACUUGAUCAUUCCUCAUGAGCCCUGCCCAGGAAAAUUGCCACAGCAAGAUUCUCUUACUUUCUUCCCCAGGAACUUCAGCUCCUUUGGUUUCUCCUGUAGGCAAGGACUUCAAGCUGACACUUUGAAACUGCCUGCCUUCCAUACCUGUGCCUAGGGUAAGUUCUGACCUCUGGCCCAUGACAGAUCUGACUAUCUGCAGUGAUGCUUUUGUAUUUUCAUCUGCUCCCUGCCCAUUUGCUCGGUGAAGUGUCCUGUAAUCCGAGGCUGCCUUAAUUUAGUCUUUCUGUAUUUGUUUAAAGUGUGGUAUGUUACUUGCACCUUAUAAAUGUUAGUAAUUAAGACUGUAAUAAAAUAACCUGUGAUCACCUGGCUCAUGACUACCAAAUGACUGACCCACGAGUAUUCAGUGAAUUGAAACCUAUGAAGGUGUGAGUUUAUUGUUAUUCAGUAAAUUCUGACAUUGUAGAAAGACACAAGUGGUGUCUGACCUAUGCUGACUGCAUAACUAGGUCAAGACAACCUCCUACACCGGGUCGGUUGCUCUGAAGUCACUUUCCUUCUUCAGGGUUGAGCUGGGAUCCUUGGCAGGCUGACUCUCGGAAAAGCAGCCUUCCCAAUUCCAGGAGGAGUGUCCAGGGCUGGGCUCUGCCAAGCUAAGAGCAGCCUCUAGAGGGCCGGACCCAGGGCCCUACGCCAGAGUGACUAAGGACUCCUCCGGGCUCAGCUUCCGUGACCACCGACUUGAAGCCCUCCAGAUGUCCUAGAGCGGCGCCCCGGAGGUGGGGGGCAGGGAGCAGCUGCUUCCGGGGGCUCAGGACUGGGGGCAGGGACGGACACUCCCGGAGGGUGUACCUCCCGGCGCAAGCAGAGCGCGCAGCCAGUUUGGAGCCUUCGGGCUCCAGCUCUGGGAAGAAUGUGAGGCGCUCAGAAAGACGGGCCAGGGAAGGGCUGGGGCGGUGCUCGCGGUCUCGGGAGCCCGGGAGGGGGGCUAGACUAGCUCUAGGCAGUCCGAAGGUUCCUUAGCAGAUGGAUGGUUUAGCCAGUAUUUUCACCCUCCUUUUGUCUUUUUUAACCCCUCCCAGCAGUGGGAGUAAAACUCCUUGUCUCCGCCUCUGCCACGGAGCUACAUUCCCAGCUGUUUUUACUUUCUGGAUGGUACUGUUUGCAGCACAGAAGUUCUUGAUAUUGAUGUAAAUUGUACAUAUUGUGUACAUACUUAUUAUAGCUUAUGUAAUGUACACAAUUAUGUUAAAAGUACGUAUGUUAUGAGUGGUCUGAAAUGGAGAAAUCUAGCCCAUCAACGUGCAUGAUCUCACUGUGAGGUGAGAACACCCUAACAUCCAUUCUGGCAGUUUUUUUUUUUUUUUAAUAUUUAUUUUUUUUUAGUUUUCGGGGGUGACAACAUCUUUGUUUGUAUGUGGUGCUAAGGAUCAACCCAGGCCGCACGCAUGCCAGGCGAGCGCGCUACCGCUUGAGCCACAUCCCCAGCCCCAUUCUGGCAGUUUUUAAGAACACAAUACAUUGUUAACAGUAGUCACCAGGUUGUACAACAGACCUCUCCAGUUUUCCUCCUAACUGGAACUUUGUAUCCUUUUACUAAUUUCUUCCUAAACCUUUUAGUUUGAACUAAUUUCAAAUUUAUAGAACAGUUGUAAUAAAGCAGAAAAUUCUCAAAUAACUAUUCAGAUUCACCAGUUUUUUUUUUCUUUUUUUUUCUUGGAGGGGUUACUGUAAGAUCCUUACAUUGAUGCCCAAACCUGGGACGGGGGAUCUCCCUGUCACCCAAGGCAGAACCGGCUCCCAAACUCUGAGCCCAACUGUUCCUGUCGUAGUCCACUCCUCUGAUCACCUGCCUGACAUCCACCACUGACUCGCGGAUCGGUGAGUUCCCCCAUCCCAUGAGCGCCUGAACCCUAACUCACCAGAAUGAGGGAAUUGACCGAUGAGUGUCCGGCAAUCCCUCCGGGAGUUUUAGGGGUAAAUGCACCCCACUCAGACCCGUAUCUCUAUCAAAGGGUAAUAAGGCCCACUGCCCACCAGUCUCAAGGCAUCACUUUUAUGUGGGACAACUGUAUACCGCUGUCUGCCCCCUGACUGGAAACAUGCACAUGUAUUCUUGUUCUCCUGUUUCCCUAUAAAGACAGUUCCAGGAGAUACAGAAAUACCAAUCCCUCUCAUGACACACAUAAGACCCAAAAGGGCGAUCCAAUUCAUACCUCUCCUCACUACUUUAGGAAUUACAGCAGGCUUGCCAAUGGGUACAGCAGGUUUGACUACCUCCCUCACAUACUAUAAUCAAUUGUCCAAAUCAUUCAUAGAUGACCUCCAACAGGUGAUUGAGCCCAUACUUACCCUCCAAAAUCAAUUAGAUUUCUUUGCAGCAGUAGUCCUACAAAACCACCAAGGCUUAGAUCUACUCACAGUGGAAAAAGGAGGCCUCUGCCCAUUCUUACAGAAAGAAUGUUGUUUUAUGUUAAUCAGUCAGGGAUAGUGAAAGAUAAGAUUAAAAAACUACAGGAACAACUAGAAAAAAGAAGGCUGCAAUUGGUACAACAAUCCUAUUGGGACCUCUUCACAAACCCCUUAUCUGCUGGAGUCUCCCGAUGCUAGGACCUCUAGUUGGGGUCUUUUUAUUCUGUGUCUUCCUUCUUUGCAUUUUAAAUUCCUUCAAGGACAAAUUAACAAAAUCUCUAACCAAACUUUCAAUCAGUUCCUCCUCAGGGAUUACCAGCUACUUGCCAAUGAGCUGGACAACACUUAUGUCUACUCAUACUGAAAAGCCUCCACCAAGUGCUGAAAGACGAAGAUACCAAAUGACAACUCCACCGAAGGGCCAUCUCUACCCCACCAUUCCAAAGAAAUAAGCCCUUGGUUUUUAGCCAUAUAUGUUCUAACCUGCCUUCUCCUGAGCAUAGGUCUUUUUAUCUACCAGCCCUGGAUGACAUGGAUGACAUGCCAGAAAUUAAUGCUGUCUCUUUUGUUCCUUUUCGUAGCUGCAGAUUUGUGGCUUGCACUGUACCUCUGAUCCUCCUCUUAAUGAAGAUGACACCUGUUACCCUCUGAUGCAUGCAAUUCUUACAAGCCCUAGGGGAAGAUAGUUGGCUUAUCUCUCCCCCUGGGCCACCCCAAUGAAUGGCUCAUUAUAUCCAACAAUUUGUGGUUGCAGGGCACGUUCAUGGACUUCUCCCCGGAGGAAAUCCAUGCUUUCAGCACAUGGAUGUGGGGCCUCCUGGCCCUCCUUCUCCAACCAACUGACCUCCCUCCCUCUAAACAACACCCCUACUUAGCAGGAAGAAGCCAGAACUAGUAUGAUGCCCCCAAACCAAAACAAAAAAGGGAGGAAUGUUGGUAAAGAUGGCGCCCGAAGUGCAUCUCUUCCGGGAGUUCAGGUCCAUGAUGCACUGAAUGGCGUGAACUACCACCUAAGUGGCACAAACCAUCACCUCCAAUCCCUGAAAUGGCGCAAACUGUGACCUCCCACCCCUAGGAGACUAAUACCCUGUCCUGCCCAGAAAUGGACCCUUGGUCAAUAAAGAAGUAAGAGCCAACUCCCCAUGCUCAUUCUCUCUCUCCCCCACUUCUUCUCUUCUGUGACCGGCUGCUACGGUCCCACUAAUAAAAUCUUGGACAGGUAAAUGGUUGUUUGGCUUG